rnacentral:snoRNA from 14 species
ACGCGUCUUUUCAUCCAAUUGUCAAUGUGUAAUCCAAUGUUGAUGAUUCAGCGAAUUCAUUCAGACGCAAUACUGACAACUUCUCCAUUGACAUCUAGUCAGACUAAACUGGCUUGGAUACAAUUAGGAAGUUUACAUUU